rnacentral:rRNA from 1 species
GUAGGUGGCAAGCGUUGUCCGGAAUUAUUGGGCGUAAAGCGCGCGCAGGCGGUCCUUUAAGUCUGAUGUGAAAGCCCACGGGCUCAACCGUGGAGGGUCAUUGGAAACUGGGGGACUUGAGUACAGAAGAGGAAAGCGGAAUUCCAAGUGUAGCGGUGAAAUGCGUAGAGAUUUGGAGGAACACCAGUGGCGAAGGCGGCUUUCUGGUCUGUAACUGACGCUGAGGCGCGAAAGCGUGGGGAGCAAACAGGAUUAGAUACCCUGGUAGUCCACGCCGUAAACGAUGAGUGCUAAGUGUUAGGGGGUUUCCGCCCCCUAGUGCUGCAGCUAACGCAUUAAGCACUCCGCCUGGGGAGUACGGCCGCAAAGGCUGA